rnacentral:ncRNA from 1 species
UUAAAGAAAGAAAGGAGAGAAGGUUAGCACUCCCUUUGAUACAGAUGGAGGAGGCCCUUGGGCCUGACAACACGCAUACAGUUAAGGCACUGCCGCCUACAUCACGGCACCUAAACAUCUUUUCUU